CAACUGUGGAGCAAAGCACAUCGUCUUUACAGUGUUAAAACAUAAUGCUUUCUUAAUUUUAUGAAGAACACGCACUAGAGAUGCUUAGGUACAUCUCAGAAGGAUUGGUGUGCACCAAAAUAUCACAAGAAAUGGCCAUAGCAGCUGGUCGUCCUUAGAAUGUUUAUUUUUUGGUGAACCACUUCAGACUGUUGUCACAGGCUUGGGUUCCUCAAUAUAUCCAGCUCAUCGAUUUAGCUCUGGAUGUUUGUUGUAAGAUUUUACAUCCUAGGCCUGAAUGUGAACCUUGACCUGGACAAUCUUACAGAUAACAAUAGAAGAGUCACCUGACAUUGCACAGGCAAAUUCAUCAGUUUCAGAUCCUGUCCUGCCAUCUUCAGGUAGACGCAGUAGUGGAUAUCCUGGCGAACCUUUAUUGGACUUAGAGCCACCUUGGGACAAUCCCCCAUAACAAAUGUGCAUCUUAGGCUUGGCAAUCUCACUCAGUUUUGUAGGAAAGGAGGAUUGGCACCAUUGGAUUGACAAAUAUUGACAAUUGACAGUUCAGUCACACUAAAAUAUAGUGGCAUGUUGCUGCAAGUUACCACACUUAUUCCAAGAUUGCUGAAUUAUCAUUACUGUCUAAGGAGACCCAAGAUCUCUCAACCAAAAGAAGAAACUUGGGGAUCAAUCAGUUAUUAGAUUAAAAUACUGGAACACUACCCAUCACUGUUGUGUUCACUAUAUGGAAAAGAUGACCGUGAUAUUGGAACCUUGGAGAUUCAUAACUUGAUUUUACUCCUGUGAAAAGUAACUGCUUUGU